UACGUAGGGAGCAAGCGUUGUCCGGAUUUAUUGGGCGUAAAGAGCUCGUAGGCGGUCUGUCGCGUCUGGUGUGAAAAUCCAGGGCUUAACCCUGGACCUGCAUCGGGUACGGGCAGACUAGAGUGCGGUAGGGGAGAUCGGAAUUCCUGGUGUAGCGGUGAAAUGCGCAGAUAUCAGGAGGAACACCGGUGGCGAAGGCGGAUCUCUGGGCCGUAACUGACGCUGAGGAGCGAAAGCAUGGGGAGCGAACAGG
rnacentral:rRNA from 1 species